rnacentral:misc_RNA from 1 species
GAUGAAGAACGUAGCGAAAUGCGAUAACUAAUGUGAAUUGCAGAAUUCCGUGAAUCAUCGAGUCUUUGAACGCACAUUGCACCCUCUGGUAUUCCGGGGGGUAUAUCUGUCCGAGCGUCAUUACAACCUUAAAGCCCGGCUUUGUAUUGGAUUCUAGUUCUGCUUUGGCGGGACGGGUCCGAAAUAAAUUAAUGACGUCGCGAUUACCACGGAAUCGAGCGAAUGGAAUCAUUAACGCUCUGUUUGAAGUGGCCGACGGUCUUCUGAAGCGAUCAUUAUUGAUCGUCUUUUUAACGGUUGACCUCGGAUCAGAUAAGGAUACCCGCUGAACUUAAGCAUAUCAAUAAGCGGAGGA